UACAGAGGGGGCAAGCGUUGUUCGGAAUUACUGGGCGUAAAGGGCGCGUAGGCGGCCUUCUAAGUCGAACGUGAAAUCCCCGGGCUCAACCCGGGAACUGCGUCCGAUACUGGAAGGCUUGAAUCCGGGAGAGGGAUGCGGAAUUCCAGGUGUAGCGGUGAAAUGCGUAGAUAUCGGGAGGAACACCAAUGGCGAAGGCAGCUCGCUGGGACGGUACUGACGCUGAGACACGAAAGCGUGGGGAGCAAACAGG
rnacentral:rRNA from 1 species